GCAUAGGAUCUACCUAGUAGUAUAGGAUAGCCACUAGAAGUGGUGGGUAAUACUGUAUAAUCCCUGCGGGGGAAAGAUUUAUCGCUACAUGAUGAGCCUAUGUUAGAUUAGCUAGUUGGUGGGGUAAUGGCCUACCAAGGCAGUGAUCUAUAGCUGGUCUGAGAGGAUGAUCAGCCACACUGGAACUGAGACACGGUCCAGACUCCUACGGGAGGCAGCAGUGGGGAAUAUUGGACAAUGGGCGCAAGCCUGAUCCAGCUAUGCCGCGUGAGUGAGGAAGGCCUUAGGGUUGUAAAACUCUUUCAGUGGGGAAGAUAAUGACGGUACCCACAGAAGAAGUCCCGGCAAACUCCGUGCCAGCAGCCGCGGUAAUACGGAGGGGGCAAGCGUUGUUCGGAAUUAUUGGGCGUAAAGGGCAUGUAGGUGGUUUGGUAAGUUAAAGGUGAAAUGCCAGGGCUUAACCCUGGAGCUGCUUUUAAUACUGCCAGACUGGAUUCCCGGGGAGAA
rnacentral:rRNA from 1 species